rnacentral:rRNA from 1 species
UUUUAUGGAGAGUUUGAUCCUGGCUCAGGAUGAACGCUGGCGGCGUGCCUAAUACAUGCAAGUCGAGCGAACGGACGAGAAGCUUGCUUCUCUGAUGUUAGCGGCGGACGGGUGAGUAACACGUGGAUAACCUACCUAUAAGACUGGGAUAACUUCGGGAAACCGGAGCUAAUACCGGAUAAUAUUUUGAACCGCAUGGUUCAAAAGURAAAGACGGUCUUGCUGUCACUUAUAGAUGGAUCCGCGCUGCAUUAGCUAGUUGGCAAGGUAACGGCUUACCAAGGCAACGAUGCAUAGCCGACCUGAGAGGGUGAUCGGCCACACUGGAACUGAGACACGGUYCAGACUCCUACGGGAGGCAGCAGUAGGGAAUCUUCCGCAAUGGGCGAAAGCCUGACGGAGCAACGCCGCGUGAGUGAUGAAGGUCUUCGGAUCGUAAAACUCUGUUAUUAGGGAAGAACAUAUGUGUAAGUAACUGUGCACAUCUUGACGGUACCUAAUCAGAAAGCCACGGCUAACUACGUGCCAGCAGCCGCGGUAAUACGUAGGUGGCAAGCGUUAUCCGGAAUUAUUGGGCGUAAAGCGCGCRUAGGCGGUUUUUUAAGUCUGA